rnacentral:rRNA from 1 species
UACGUAGGGGGCUAGCGUUGUCCGGAAUCAUUGGGCGUAAAGCGCGCGUAGGCGGCCCGGUAAGUCCGCUGUAAAAGUCAAAGGCUCAACCUUUGAAUGUCAGUGGAUACUGCCGGGCUAGAGUCCGGAAGAGGCGAGUGGAACUCCUGGUGUAGCGGUGGAAUGCGCAGAUAUCGGGAGGAACACCAAUGGCGAAGGCAGCUCGCUGGGACGUGACUGACGCUGAGACGCGAAAGCGUGGGGAGCAAACAGG